GGGCGGUUAGCUCAGUGGUUAGAGCACUUGCUUCACACGCAAGGGGUCACAGGUUCAAGUCCUGUUCCGCCCA
rnacentral:tRNA from 1 species